rnacentral:rRNA from 1 species
AGCGAACGCUGGCGGCAGGCCUAACACAUGCAAGUCGAACGGAUCCUUCGGGAUUAGUGGCGGACGGGUGAGUAACACGUGGGAACGUGCCUUUUGGUUCGGAAUAACUCAGGGAAACCUGAGCUAAUACCGAAUGUGCCCUUCGGGGGAAAGAUUUAUCGCCAUUAGAGCGGCCCGCGUCUGAUUAGCUAGUUGGUAGGGUAAAGGCCUACCAAGGCUACGAUCAGUAGCUGGUCUGAGAGGAUGAUCAGCCACACUGGGACCGAGACACGGCCCAGACUCCUACGGGAGGCAGCAGUGGGGAAUCUUGCGCAAUGGGCGAAAGCCUGACGCAGCCAUGCCGCGUGAAUGAUGAAGGUCUUAGGAUUGUAAAAUUCUUUCACCGGGGACGAUAAUGACGGUACCCGGAGAAGAAGCCCCGGCUAACUUCGUGCCAGCCGCCGCGGUAAAAC